AUACGGAGGGGGCUAGCGUUGUUCGGAAUUACUGGGCGUAAAGCGCACGUAGGCGGAUUAAAAAGUUAGAGGUGAAAUCCCAGGGCUUAACCCUGGAACUGCCUUUAAAACUAGUAGUCUAGAGUUCGAGAGAGGUGAGUGGAAUUCCAAGUGUAGAGGUGAAAUUCGUAGAUAUUUGGAGGAACACCAGUGGCGAAGGCGGCUCACUGGCUCGAUACUGACGCUGAGGUGCGAGAGCGUGGGGAGCAAACAGGAUUAGAAACCCCAGUAGUCC
rnacentral:rRNA from 1 species